rnacentral:rRNA from 1 species
AGCGAACGCUGGCGGCAGGCCUAACACAUGCAAGUCGAACGAACUCUUCGGAGUUAGUGGCGGACGGGUGAGUAACACGUGGGAACGUGCCUUUAGGUUCGGAAUAACUCAGGGAAACUUGAGCUAAUACCGACUGUGCCCUUCGGUGGAAAGAUUUAUCGCCUUGAGAGCGGCCCGCUCCUGAUUAGCUUGUUGGUGAGGUAAUGGCUCACCAAGGCGAAGAUCAGUAGCUGGUCUGAGAGGAUGACCAGCCACAUUGGGACUGAGAUACGGCCCAUACUCCUACGGGGGGCAGCAGUGGGGAAUCUUGCGUAAUGGGCGAAACCCUGACGCAGCCAUGCCGCAUGGAAGAUGAAGGUCUUAGGACUGUAAAAUCCUUUCACCGGUGAAGAUAAUGACUGUAGCCGGAGAAGAAGCCCCGGCUAACUUCGUGCCAGCCGCCGCCGUAAGAC